UACGAAGGGGGCUAGCGUUGUUCGGAAUUACUGGGCGUAAAGGGCGCGUAGGCGGUCCUUCAAGUCAGGCGUGAAAGCCCCGGGCUCAACCUGGGAACCGCGCUUGAGACUGGCGGGCUAGAGUUCGGGAGAGGAUGGUGGAAUUCCCAGUGUAGAGGUGAAAUGCGCAGAUAUCAGGAAGAACACCCGUGGCGAAGGCGGCUCUCUGGGCCUUACCUGACGCUGAGGAGCGAAAGCGUGGGGAGCGAACAGG
rnacentral:rRNA from 1 species